AUUCCAGCUCCAAUAGCGUAUAUUAAAGUUGUUGCAGUUAGAACGCUCGUAGUCGGAUUUCGGGGCAGUCCGACCGGUCUGCCGAUGGGUAUGCACUGGCCGGAGUGUCCUUUUUGCCGGAGACCGUGCCUACUCUUAACUGAGCGAGGGCGGGAGACGGCACUUUUACUUUGAAAAAAUCAGAGUGUUUCAAGCAGGCAGCUCGCUCUUGCAUGGAUUAGCAUGGGAUAAUGAAAUAGGACUUUGGUGCUAUUUUGUUGGUUUCGAACACCGAAGUAAUGAUGAGAAGGGACAGUCAGGGGCACUCGUAUUCCGCAGAGAGAGGUGAAAUUCUCAGAUCCGCGGAAGACGAACCACUGCGAAAGCAUUUGCCAGGGAUGUUUUCAUUA
rnacentral:rRNA from 1 species